GUGGCGGCCGACCAACCGCGACGGCACCGCCGUCUCCUCCGGCGACCUCCAACCCUAAAUCCAAUUUCUAAACACGAACCCUACUUCAUUUUCGCUUCUGAAUUCAAAUCCAACCUCGCCUUUUUCAAACUCUCUCUCAAAUGGUCGGAUCGGCGAUAAGAAAACAAGAAAACCCUAAACCUAAAUUUAUGAUCUACCCUUCAAUAAUCUUGAUUAUGAGAAAUUAACAUGGGGGUUUUGUCUGUUUUGUAGUGACGAACUACAAGCAUAUGGAUUCGAGCAAGGAAAGGAAAGAAAAAGAUUACUUGGCCUACGUCGCCGGUGAUGACGAGCUCCUCCACCGUGCUUCAGAUAAGCUUCUCUCUCUUUCUUUAUGCUCUUCGUCUCCCUCUGUUCUUCCUUCUUCUUUUUGGAUUUUUUGAAUAUUGUUGUUCUGUUCUCGUUCCUUUUAGUAUUGUGUGCUUACUAUUAAAAAUAUUUUUGAUUUUUUCUUAUGAUUCCAAAAACGUGUUUGUUUCGUUGUUUUGGGUUUGAGUUUAAAAAUAUUUCUGAUAACUUCUCUGGAUUUUAUUUUUUUACGUGUUCCUGUUGAUUUGUUG
rnacentral:lncRNA from 1 species